rnacentral:rRNA from 1 species
AAUCAACGCUGGCGGCGUGCCUCAGACAUGCAAGUCGAACGAUUAAAGCUCUCUUCGGAGAGUGUAUAGAGUGGCGCACGGGUGAGUAACACGUAAGUAAUCUACCUUCGAGUGGGAAUAACGUCCGGAAACGGACGCUAAUACCGCAUAAUGCAGCGGCAUCGCAAGAUGACAGUUGUUAAAGAUUUAUCGCUUGAAGAGGAGCUUGCGGCAGAUUAGCUAGUUGGUAAGGUAAUGGCUUACCAAGGCUACGAUCUGUAACCGGUCUAAGAGGACGGUCGGUCACACUGACACUGAAUAACGGGUCAGACUCCUACGGGAGGCAGCAGUCGGGAAUUUUGGGCAAUGGGCGAAAGCCUGACCCAGCAACGCCGCGUGAAGGAUGAAGUAUUUCGGUAUGUAAACUUCGAAAGAAUA